AUCGAACGCUGGCGGCAGGCCUAACACAUGCAAGUCGAGCGGAUGAUGCGAGCUUGCUCCUGGAUUCAGCGGUGGACGGGUGAGUACUGCCUAGGAAUCUGCCUGGUCGUGGGGGAUAACGUCCGGAUACGGGCGCUAAUACCGCAUACGUCCUGAGGGCGACAGUGGGGGUUCUUCCGAUCUCACGCUAUCAUAUUAGCAUAGGUCUGAUUAGCUAGGUGGUGGGGUAACGGCUUUCCAAGGCGAAGAUCCGUAACUGGUCUGAGAGGAUGAUCAGUGACACUGGAAGUGAGAAACGGUCCAGACACCUACGAGAGGCAGCAGUGGGGAAUAUUGGACAAGGAGAGAAAGCGUGAUCCAGACAUGCCGCGUGUGUGAAGAAGGUCUUCGGAUUGGAAAGCACUUUAAGUUGGGAGGAAGGGCAGUAAGUUAAUACCUUACUGUAUUGACGUUACCAACAGAAUAAGCACCGGCUAACUUCGUG
rnacentral:rRNA from 1 species